GAUGAACGCUAGCGGCAGGCUUAACACAUGCAAGUCGAGGGGCAGCGCGGGAUAGCAAUAUCCUGGCGGCGACCGGCGGAAGGGUGCGUAACGCGUGAGCGACAUGCCCGUUGCCCGGGGACAACCGGUGGAAACGCCGACUAAUCCCCGAUGGGAUAUUGUGCCGCAUGGCACGAUAUUGAAAGUUACGGCGGCGACGGAUUGGCUCGCGUCCGAUUAGCUUGUUGGCGGGGUAACGGCCCACCAAGGCUGCGAUCGGUAGGGGUUCUGAGAGGAAGGCCUCCCACAAUGGGACUGAGACACGGCCCAUACUCCUACGGGAGGCAGCAGUGAGGAAUAUUGGUCAAUGGGCGGAAGCCUGAACCAGCCAUGCCGCGUGCGGGAAGGAGGCCCUAUGGGCUGUGAACCGCUUUUGCCUGGGGGCAAUAAGGGCGUCGCGCACGUCCGAUGAGAGUACCAGGCGAAUAAGCAUCGGCUAACUCCGUG
rnacentral:rRNA from 1 species